UACGGAGGGAGUUAGCGUUGUUCGGAAUUACUGGGCGUAAAGCGCGCGUAGGCGGCUUUGUAAGUUAGAGGUGAAAGCCCGGAGCUCAACUCCGGAACUGCCUUUAAGACUGCAUCGCUUGAAUCCGGGAGAGGUGAGUGGAAUUCCGAGUGUAGAGGUGAAAUUCGUAGAUAUUCGGAAGAACACCAGUGGCGAAGGCGGCUCACUGGACCGGCAUUGACGCUGAGGUGCGAAAGCGUGGGGAGCAAACAGG
rnacentral:rRNA from 1 species